UACGGGGGGUGCGAGCGUUGUCCGGAAUCACUGGGCGUAAAGGGCGCGUAGGCGGCGCGGGUAGUCAUCGGUGAAAGUUCAGGGCUCAACUCUGAAUCGGCCGGUGAUACUCCCGUGCUCGAGCACUGUAGAGGCAGGUGGAAUUCCGGGUGUAGCGGUGGAAUGCGUAGAGAUCCGGAGGAACACCGGUGGCGAAGGCGGGUCUCUGGGCAGUAACUGACGCUGAGGAGCGAAAGCGUGGGGAGCGAACAGG
rnacentral:rRNA from 1 species